UGCCUAAAACUCAGACCUGAGAUUGU
rnacentral:piRNA from 1 species